UUAUAAAAUCCCAGUGAGUAGACAGACAUCAUCAAAAUAAUCUAAAGCCGAGUAAUAGGAGACAAUUAAAAUAAUUCAUCUCAACCCAUAUAAAUAAUUGGAUUUCAUCUAAUUACUCAACAUGGCUUAUGCACUUUUCAAAAACUUGGCCCUUGCCAAAAAUCCAUUCUCGGGGAUACCUCGCGAAGGCAUCUUACCGAGACCGCCAAGGCUGUUUAUUGUCACACACACAAACACAUUUCACCUCUGACAACACAGCCGUUCCUUGGCGUUGGCUGAGUCCCAGUUUCACGUGGUGGCCAGCGUGAAGUGUACUCAAAUCCUACCUCGGGAGUUAUCCUACGCGCCUCUCCAAUCGAGGUAAGCUCAAUAAUUGGGAACCGUGCCCCUCUAAUUAGG
rnacentral:lncRNA from 1 species